rnacentral:rRNA from 1 species
UACAGAGGGUGCCAGCGUUAUUCGGAAUUAUUGGGCGUAAAGGGCGCGUAGGCGGCCAUGCGUGUCUUCCGUGAAAUCCCUCGGCUUAACUGAGGACGUGCGGAAGAAACUGCAAGGCUUGAGUCCGGGAGAGGGGGGUGGAAUUCCCAGUGUAGCGGUGAAAUGCGUAGAUAUUGGGAGGAACACCGGUGGCGAAGGCGGCCCCCUGGACCGGUACUGACGCUGAGGCGCGAAAGCGUGGGUAGCAAACGGG